rnacentral:lncRNA from 1 species
AUAAGGGGUGGAAUAACUCCUUAUCCCCCUUUAUACCCAUAAAUGCUAAUUUUUUACCCGAAAAUAGUAGUUGUUGGGUACCUGAAAUAAGCUGGUAUAACUAUCCCCACCAACACUUUCAUUUUCUAUAUAUAACUACUUACUAUUUUUCUUAUUCUAUAUUAUCUAUCCAAACGUUAUUUUUCUUAUCCUCGGAAAUAACCUAAUUUUCAUCCAAAUGCUAUUUUUUUAAUCCCCAUACUUGUAUCUAUUCCUGUAAUAGCUAGUUCUUCCUUUUACCCAAACCAAACGGUACCUUAAGAAAAGGAAUAUAUAUCAUACAGUUCAUUCAUCUAAAGAAUGUGAUUUUUUUUAUUUGUCACAACAUGUGACAGAUAAAAAAAAUCUUAUCAAUUAAAUAAAUGGCUAUAAAUCAUACACUCUCGAAUGGGGUGUAUGAUUAGCUUUUUCCUUCACAAUAAUAUUAAGGAUUAAUUGCACCAUUAGUCCACAACCUUCUCGAUUUUUCAAUUGAAUCUCGAACUUUCUUUUUCUUAAUCAAUUAAUUAGCGUUCAACCUUCAGAUUUCAUUUCAGUUAUAUUCUUGUCGUCCAUGCUUCCAUUAUCUUUAACGGGGUUGAUAAGCGGUCGUGUUGCAUGUUAUGAUUUAGAUUUAUAAUUAAAUUCUUAGAUUGUGACAUCUCAGUAGUCCUAAAUCGGAUAGAAAUGAGAUUAUAAUUGCGUAUAUAAGAGAUUAUAGAUAUUAGUAAUAAUAAUUGGGUUCAAGUAUUUUGGGUCAGUGGCUUGAAUCCAACGAGUUAUUAUUACUACUGGUCUGUUGUUACAUUUAGUAUCAGAAGUAAUCAUCAUCUGAAAGUAUGAAAUGAGUCGCGGCUUAAUCAAAGUCAGAUGACAGGCUAAAUUAGGAUCAAGAAACGACAGACUAAACCAGAAUUGGAAUGAUAAGUCUAGCAAGACAAAUCUAACAUCGUCUGAUGAUUUCGGGCCGUGAGCUAUUGCUUUGAGUGUGUUGCA